AAUUUAACCCCAAAAAAAUCAAUGUUAAAUUUAACCCAAAAAAAUCGUAUCGUCCCUACCGCACGAGAGAGUCUUCUGUCUCUCUACAAACCCCCAAACCCCAACAAACACAAGCUAAACCUUCUCAAUCCCUCUCUUUCGCGACCCAGAAAUGGCCGCCACAGCCUCCUCCUCAUAAACCCAUUCACCUUGUUCCUCCUCUUCUUUCGCAGAUUCUUUCUCUUUGGGUUUUGUUUUUGUCGGAGAGUUUGAUUUGGGAAUCCGAUCUUUUUCUUCAUCGAUCUUCAGUACCGGUUGUUUGGGGGUUUCUUUUCGGGUGAAAGUUAGGGUUUUAGGGUUUGGUUUUACUGCAAUCUUACCGGACCAGAAAAAACUCGAACUAUAGAUACAAGCCCUGUCGUAAAAAUUUGAUCUUUUUAUUGUUUAGGUUAAACUUCCUUAGGCUUGGAUUGUCGUGGGUCAGCUAGAAAUUUUUCGAGCAAAUCACAUGAUUAUUAGAUUCAUAGAAGAAAAUCUUGGAUGGGAUGAUAUUCAACUAUAUUAAUUACUGCAAUUUUGAUUUUUUUUUGAAACAAACUGCAAUUUUUAUUUGGUUAUAGAAGAUUUCUACAUUUGAUUUACUUUGAAUUUAAAUGUUCCUGGUUUUUAGGAUUCAGACUGUAUUAACUAAUAACAUGUGAGUUAUUGAAUAGACUUAAAUAUUUUCUAUGGUUUCAGAUUGUUCAUCGCAUGGAACUCUUAGACUACAAUGACAGCCAACAAUGGACUUGUUGGAGGAGUGGAAAUUCUUGUUUCCAAUCUCAGCAGUCUUCAGGUCUCCGCUGCUUCUCUGGAGCCCUUCCACUAAACCCAUUUUCUUCCAUUACCUGGAUGAGCUAUUUGAACAAAAGGGUGAGGUUGCCAAAUUUGUGUCAGAUGAACUUGAGAAGGCUAUAUUAAAGAUAAUCAAGCAUUGCAAGGAGUUUAACUCAUUCAUAUUUAUUCGUGUGUUUGAUGAUGAUGUUGUGGAGAGCUCAGAAGUCACAACAGGUGUUACCAAAAAUGUGGUAAUUUUUAAGGUUGAAAAAUAUGGUGCAACAGUUUCAGGAAGUAUAAGUUGCAUUCUUGUAAUUUUUGAAAUGAUUUCUUUAGUUUAGUUAUUAAUCUGAUGGCUUUUUAUGAUUGUUAAGCUUGGAGAAUCGUUCAAUCAAUAUAGGGAAUGAUUGCUUUCAUCAUAUUUUCUACUAAUCUAGGGAGCUUUGAUCUUUGCCAAAGUGAGAUUCAGGGAAAAUUAGUAAUGGUUCAAGUCAACAUGUGGACACAAUAAAAAUGAAAUGGCAAAGAAAUAGAUUAGUCCCAACAAGCAUUGUUGGAAUAUAUAGUGAAACCAACCAAUGGAUGAAAAUGCGGAAUAAUAGUCGAAUUUCGUCAUUAGCUAUGAGACCACGUGCUUCAAUGGCUGCACCGAAAAUUCAGCCACUGAGUAAAUUUGUCUCUAACAUCCGAAUCAUGGUAAAUGGUUGUACUGGAAAAAGAGGUCAGGCUGUUAUUAAUGCAGCAGAUUCUCGCCGGGUCUUAACAUUGUUCCCGUAUCAUUUGGCUCUAAAGAAUAGUCUGGGACGAUUGUGCAAGUUUGUGGGAAAGAUAUCACGGUGCAAGGCCCUUCUAAAAGAGAAAGCACUCUGGCCUCUCUUUAUACUGAGUAUCCAAAUUUGAUUGUUGUGGAUUACACUGUGCCUGCAGCAGUCAAUGGUAUUUUCUCCAAUAAAAGCUAACUAGAUAAAGAUAAAUGAUAUAUAUUCUGUACUUCUUUUGAAAAUUUUGUUUAGUAUUUAGUUUAAAUUUCAAGAAAGAAAGUGGGUUAUUGUGUGAGAAUCCAUUUAGUUUUCUUUUCCCCCUUUUAGUUUAAAUUUUGUUUUUGCUUUUUGUAUUAAGGAUUCAUUUCCCCUAAUGGUAAUUGUAAAGUAUUAUAUUGUUUAAUCUUGUGUAGUAAUAUGACUUUCGGUGUAAUUAUACGUGUGGAAAGUGAAGCAUUUCAGGUAAUUGUUUGCAUAUUAUAAGCCUCUUUUAGUAUAUUUCUUUUCUUUCUUAUUUAUGGUACUGUAAUACAGUAUCUGUGAAAGAUGUUGUUAGGAUUGUCGAGGGACCUUGCAGAACCAGGGAAAACAAGGUCCAGUUGAACAAAUAUACAAGGGUGUUCUAUUCAUCUAUCACCGCCACCACCUUGAGCAUGCUGGUUUUAUUUGUGCCAAGUCUUAGUCUUGUGUUGUUAUGGGAGGAUCACGUUCAAAUGGUUGAGCAAAAUGAUUAGCAGUUUUGAUAUGGUACCUCCUGCUUCUGCAAU